GGCUGGAUAGCUCAGGUGGUAGAGCACCAGACCAGGAAUCCGGAGGCCGCAGGUUCAAACCCUGCUCCAGUCA